rnacentral:rRNA from 1 species
GAUGAACGCUAGCUACAGGCUUAACACAUGCAAGUCGAGGGGCAGCAUGAACUUAGCUUGCUAAGUUUGAUGGCGACCGGCGCACGGGUGAGUAACACGUAUCCAACCUGCCGAUGACUCGGGGAUAGCCUUUCGAAAGAAAGAUUAAUACCCGAUGGCAUAGUUCUUCCGCAUGGUAGAACUAUUAAAGAAUUUCGGUCAUCGAUGGGGAUGCGUUCCAUUAGGUUGUUGGCGUGGUAACGGCCCACCAAGCCUUCGAUGGAUAGGGGUUCUGAGAGGAAGGUCCCCCACAGUGGAACCGGGACACGGUCCAAACUCCUACGGGAGGCAGCAGUGAGGAAGAUUGGUGAAGGGAAGAGAGUCUGAACCAGCCAAGUAGCGUGAAGGAUGGCUGCCCUAUGGGUUGUAAACUUCUUUUAUACGGGAAUAAAGUGAGGCACGUGUGCCUUUUUGUAUGUACCGUAUGAAUAAGGAUCGGCUAACUACGUG